GAUGAACGCUGGCGGCGUGCCUAAUACAUGCAAGUCGAGCGAACAGACGAGGAGCUUGCUCCUUUGACGUUAGCGGCGGACGGGUGAGUAACACGUGGAUAACCUACCUAUAAGACUGGGAUAACUUCGGGAAACCGGAGCUAAUACCGGAUAACAUGUUGAACCGCAUGGUUCAACAGUGAAAGACGGUUUUGCUGUCACUUAUAGAUGGAUCCGCGCCGCAUUAGCUAGUUGGUAAGGUAACGGCUUACCAAGGCAACGAUGCGUAGCCGACCUGAGAGGGUGAUCGGCCACACUGGAACUGAGACACGGUCCAGACUCCUACGGGAGGCAGCAGUAGGGAAUCUUCCGCAAUGGGCGAAAGCCUGACGGAGCAACGCCGCGUGAGUGAAGAAGGUCUUCGGAUCGUAAAACUCUGUUAUUAGGGAAGAACAAAUGUGUAAGUAACUAUGCACGUCUUGACGGUACCUAAUCAGAAAGCCACGGCUAACUACGUG
rnacentral:rRNA from 1 species